rnacentral:rRNA from 1 species
AUUGAACGCUGGCGGCAUGCUUUACACAUGCAAGUCGAACGGUAACAGGCCUUCGGGUGCUGACGAGUGGCGAACGGGUGAGUAAUGCAUCGGAACGUACCCAGAGGUGGGGGAUAACGCAGCGAAAGCUGUGCUAAUACCGCAUGUGAUCUGAGGAUGAAAGCGGGGGACCGAGCAGCAAUGUUUGGCCUCGCGCCUUUGGAGCGGCCGAUGUCGGAUUAGCUAGUUGGUGGGGUAAAGGCCUACCAAGGCGACGAUCCGUAGCUGGUCUGAGAGGACGACCAGCCACACUGGAACUGAGACACGGCCCAGACUCCUACGGGAGGCAGCAGUGGGGAAUUUUGGACAAUGGGCGCAAGCCUGAUCCAGCAAUGCCGCGUGCGGGAAGAAGGCCUUCGGGUUGUAAACCGCUUUUGGCAGGAACGAAACGGUGUCCGCUAAUACCGGGCGCUAAUGACGGUACCUGAAGAAUAAGCACCGGCUAACUACGUG